CUUCAAUGAAAAAUUUGAUUUUUCAACUAAAGACGGCCCCUAAAAAGUUAUGGGCGAAAGCUCUGUUUGAUGGGAAUACUUUUAAGUAUCUUUUAAUGCGUGACAAAAGUUAAAGUUUAUUCUGUUUUUACAGGGUUCAUAAAAUUUUUCAAGAAAUAGCUCAUUAAAAAAUAAAACCGUACUGUAAACCGACACAGGUGGGCCGGUCGAGCAGACUAAGGCGCUUGAGAUAACUUUGUUGAAGGAACUCGGCAAAAUGUCCCCGUAACUUCGGAAUAAGGGGAGACUUUAUUAGGUAACCCUUUUAAAGUCGGCACAGAAUCGGGGGGAGCAACUGUUUAGCAAAAACACAAGUCUCUGCUAAUUUGUAAAAAGAUGUAUAGAGGCUGACGCCUGCCCGGUGCUGCAAGGCGAAGGUACUAUGGUUUUGGCUAUGGUUCUGAACCCCCAGUAAACGGCGGCCGUAACUCUGACGGUCCAAAGGUAGCGAAAUUCCUUGUCGGGUAAGUUCCGACCUGCAUGAAUGGUGUAAUGACUUCCCCGCUGUCUCCAACAAAGGCUCAGUGAAAUUGAAUUGCCCGUGAAGAUGCGGGCAUUAUACAGCUAGACGGAAAGACCCCGUGCACUUUUACUAUAAACAUAUAUUGUAAAUAUUGCUUUUUUGUGCAGGAUAAGUGGUAGCUAUUGAUACCUUCAUGUAAAUGAAUUGUAGAAGCAUCCUUGAGAUACCACUCUUUAAAGUUUUAGUUACUAACUUUUUUAAGGACAUUUUAUGUUUGGUAGUUUAGCUGGGGCGGCUGCCUCCUAAAAAGUAACGGAGGCGUACUAAAGGUAAACUUAAACAAAAACAUUGUUGUUAAGCUCAAUGGCAUAUGUUUGCUUGACUGUAAGAAAGAUAUUUCGAGCAGAGACGAAAGUCGGUCAUAGUGAUCCGGUGGUUUUGUGUGGAAAAGCCAUCGCUCAACAAAUAAAAAGUACGCCGGGGAUAACAGGCUUAUGCCCCCCUAGAGCUCAUAUCGACGGGGGCGUUUGGCACCUCGAUGUCGGCUCAUCACAUCCUGAAGCUGAAGAUGGUUUCAAGGGUUCGGCUGUUCGCCGAUUAAAGUGGUACGUGAGCUGGGUUCAGAACGUCGUGAGACAGUUUGGUCCCUAUCUACUGUAUACGUUUAAAAUUGAGGGGUUUAUUUUCUAGUACGAGAGGACCGAAAAAUGUAAACCUCUGGUGUAUCGGUUGUUUUUUAAGCAGCGCCGAGUAGCUAAGUUUAUUUUAGAUAAUCGCUGAAAGCAUCUAAGCGAGAAACUAUCCCCAAGACCAGUUUUUUAUUUCGUGGAAGAAGACCACGUUGAUAGGCUUGAUGUGUAACUGUAGUAAUAUAAAAGCAUACAAGUACUAAUAAUAAUCACUGUCUCUU
rnacentral:rRNA from 1 species